rnacentral:lncRNA from 13 species
CUCUUUUCUCCUUCUUCACUACCCUCCAGCCAUGCUGGCCAUCUUGCUAUCCCUCAGAAAGACCAGACCUUCUCCUGCCUCAAGACUUACACUUGCAUUUCCUCUGCCUGGAACAUGAUUCCUCAGAUAUCCACACGGUUCACUCCUUAGCACCUUUGGUUCAUAUCCAAAUGUGACCUUCUGAGGGAGUCUUAUCUGACGCUUUUAAGUGGAACACCAAUAUCCCCUCCGACGCCUCUCUUGCUUUACAGUCAUUACAUACUAUGUAUUUUUAAAUUUUUAUUUUAUUAAUUUCUCUAUAUUUCUUCACUGGAGGGCAUGGGGUUUUGUUUGUUUUAGUCACUGCUGUAUUUCUGGAGCUAGAACAGAACUAUGCACAUAGUGGGCACCAUAAAUAUUUGUUUACUGAAUUAAAUUCUUUUUUAUUCUCUCUUUCCACCUUGCUUCCCCUUCCUUCCUUAUUCUAAGAGGCCCUUCUGAAAAAUGAUACGUCAGUGUCCUUUCAGCUUUGCAUGUUCAGUGUCUUAGGGACUAAAGUUAUAUUUGGCCAAAUAACGACAGGUCUGGCACCAGAGAGUGGGAAUCCUGACUGUCAUCUCUACUAUCUCAGCCUUAUAAUAAAUAUCAACUGUCUCAUACCAGCUAUGAGCUCAGAAAGGCACUCUCCCUAUCCCAUGUGGUUUAUGCUGUGGCUCACUUUCCCCAGAUCUUCAGUGUGCCAUUUCAUAGGAGGAAACAAGAGCGACCCUGUCCCAGCUGCUGCUUGGAUCGUGAUGAGGCUGGGGCUGAGCAGUGAUGGUCUCACCCACACAGAGAUGAUGAGUUUAUACAGGGCACAUACAACAUGGGGUGGAAAUGUUGGAGGCCGUCUUAGAGUCCUGUCUACCACAAUAUGCCUCUUUGUGAGAGAAAAUGAUGAGAAGGUCCAUCAUCUGUCUUCAGAGUUGGAACCAGUGAGGUGACAAGCACAGCCACUCAUUGUGGUUGUGGAUUCCCUCCUCUUCCUGCGACCUCUGUGUGUAGUCCUUUUCCAGAACUUAGGAGAGGAACACCUCCUAUAACUCAAUUAUGAAGAACAAACCACAAUAUUCCACAAAAAUGAAAAUGUCUACCCAAUCGAAGUCUAUUUCUUUAAGAACUUGAGUGAUUGGGGGAAGAAAAGAGAAUAUUUACCACUGGGAGGUGGGGUGAGUUGUGUGGACAAGAUUCCUCCCUUAACACCUGUGUCUUCUAUGGCUGCUCUGAUUCUCCUUAGUACUGCCCUGACCCAUAUGGCACCUUUGCAUACAUUAGCAAAGGGUGGUUGCUCAAGGGUAGAUGUAGCCCCUUGGGCAUAUGACCUGAGAAGUAGGGUAGGAGCUGAACUUCAGCCCACUCUCACCCUCAGAAAACUGCUUGGUUUUCCUGCCUCCUGAGCCUUCUAUUUCUAUCCCACAUUAUUCAUCUUCUAAAUAUGUACAACACUCUCUUGCUCCCCACCAUCACCAAAGGAAAAAGAAAAAAGAAAAGAAAACCUCAGUCCUUGGCUUUCUUUCUAUCUUCCCUUCAUGAGAAUUCUUAUCCUCCUAUUGAUAGAAGUUUUCCACCUGGCUCUCUGCGUGGAUGACUCCAAUCUACACCUAAAGUCUCAC